rnacentral:tRNA from 1 species
GAAGGCGUAGCUCAGUUGGUAGAGCAACGGACUUUUAAUCCGUAGGUCCAGGGUUCGAACCCCUGCGCCUUCAC